GGGUCGUUAGCUCAGUUGGUAGAGCAGGGGACUUUUAAUCCCAAGGUCGUGGGUUCGAUUCCCACACGACCCACCA
rnacentral:tRNA from 6 species